UACAGAGGGGGCAAGCGUUGUUCGGAAUUACUGGGCGUAAAGGGCGCGUAGGCGGCCUUCUAAGUCGAACGUGAAAUCCCCGGGCUCAACCCGGGAACUGCGUCCGAUACUGGAAGGCUUGAAUCCGGGAGAGGGAUGCGGAAUUCCAGGUGUAGCGGUGAAAUGCGUAGAUAUCUGGAGGAACACCGGUGGCGAAGGCGGCUCACUGGACCGGUUCUGACGCUGAUGCGCGAAAGCGUGGGUAGCAAACAGG
rnacentral:rRNA from 1 species